CCUACGGGAGGCAGCAGUGGGGAAUAUUGCACAAUGGGGGAAACCCUGAUGCAGCGACGCCGCGUGAGUGAAGAAGUAUUUCGGUACGUAAAGCUCUAUUUGCAGGGAAGAAAAUGACGGUACCUGACUAAGAAGCCCCGGCUAACUACGUGCCAGCAGCCGCGGCAAUACGUAGGGGGCAAGCGUUAUACGGAUUUACUGGGUGUAAAGGGAGCGUAGACGGCAGCGCAAGUCUGGAGUGAAAUCCCAUGGCUUAACCAUGGAACUGCUUUUGAAACUGUACAGCUAGAGUGCAGGAGAGGUAGGCGGAAUUCCUGGUGUAGCGGUGAAAUGCGUAGAUAUUAGGAGGAACCCCAGUGGCGAAGGCGGCUUACUAAACUGUAACUGACGUUGAGGCUCGAAAGCGUGGGGAGCAAACAGGAUUAGAUACCCGAGUAGUC
rnacentral:rRNA from 1 species